rnacentral:rRNA from 1 species
CAACGACUCUCGGCAACGGAUAUCUCGGCUCUCGCAUCGAUGAAGAACGUAGCGAAAUGCGAUACUUGGUGUGAAUUGCAGAAUCCCGUGAACCAUCGAGUCUUUGAACGCAAGUUGCGCCCGAAGCCAUCCGGCUGAGGGCACGUCUGCCUGGGUGUCACGCA